GGUCAAAGGUCGCAUAUUUGGGGUCAAAGGGCACACAUAUGGGGUCAAAGGUCCCCAUUUGGGGUCAAAGGUCACAUAUUUGGGGACAAAGGUCACAUAUAUGGGCUCAGAGGACACAUAUUUGGGGUCAAAGGUCGCCAUUUGGGGUCAAAGGUCACGAAUGGGGGUCAAAGGUCACAUAUAUGGGCUCAGGGGACACAGAUUUGGGGUCAAAGGUCACAUUUAGGGGUCAAAGGUCACGAUUGGGGGUCAAAUGUCGCCAUUUUGGGGUCAAAGGGUACAUAUAUGGGGUCAAAGGUCGCAUAUUUGGGGUCAAAGGUGAACAUUUGGGGUCAAAGGUCACAUUUUGGGGUCAAAGGUCACAUAUUUGGGGACAAAGGUCACAUAUAUGGGCUCAGGUGACACAGAUUUGGGGUCAAAGGUCGCCGUUUGGGGGUCAAAGGUCGCCGAUAUGGGGUCAAAGGUCACGUAUAUGGGCUCAGAGGACACAGAUUUGGGGUCAAGGGUCGCCAAUAUGGGGUCAAAGGUCACGAAUGGGGGUCAACGGUCGCCAUUUUGGGGUCAAAGGGCACCGAUAUGGGGUCAAAGGUCACGAAUGGGGGUCAAAGGUCACAUAUAUGGGCUCAGAGGACACAGAUUUGGGGUCAAAGGUCGCAUAUUUGGGGUCAAAGGUCGCAUAUUUGGGGUCAAAGGUCACCAUUUUGGGGUAAAAGGUGAACAUUUGGGGUCAAAGGUCACAUUUUGGGGUCAAAGGUGAACAUUUGGGAUCAAAGGUCACAUUUUGGGGUCAAAGGGCACCGAUAUGGGGUCAAAGGUCACAUAUAUGGGGUCAGAGGUGGACAUGUGGGGUCAAAGGUCGCAUAUUUGGGGUCAAAGGGCACACAUAUGGGGUCAAAGGUCACAUUUGGGGGUCAAAGGGCACCGAUAUGGGGUCAAAGGUCACAUAUAUGGGCUCAGAGGACACAGAUUUGGGGUCAAGGGUCGCCAUUUUGGGGUCACAGGUCGCACUUCGGGGUCAAAGGGCACCGAUAUGGGGUCAAAGGUCACAUUUGGGGUCAAAGGUCACACAUAUGGGCUCAGGUGACACAGAUUUGGGGUCAAAGGUCACAUUUGGGGGUCAAAGGUCACGAUUGGGGGUCAAAUGUCGCCAUUUUGGGGUCAAAGAGCAUCGAUAUGGGGUCAAAGGUCACCGAUAUGGGGUCAAAGGGCACGUAUAUGGGGUCAAAGGUCACAUUUUGGGGUCAAAGGGUACCGAUAUGGG
ensembl:lncRNA